AAGGGUGCGUAACACGUAUGCAAUCUGCCCUCAACAGGAGAAUAGCUCCCCGAAAGGGGAAUUAACACUCCAUAAGAUCACGGGUUGGCAUCAACCUGUGCUUAAAACUACGGUGGUUGAGGAUGAGCAUGCGCAUGAUUAGCUAGUUGGCGGGGUAACGGCCCACCAAGGCGAUGAUCAUUAGGGGAACUGAGAGGUUGAUCCCCCACACUGGCACUGAGAUACGGGCCAGACUCCUACGGGAGGCAGCAGUAGGGAAUAUUGGACAAUGGGUGCAAGCCUGAUCCAGCCAUGCCGCGUGCAGGAAGAAGGCCUUCUGGGUUGUAAACUGCUUUUACCAGGGGAUAAAAAGCCCAUGCGUGGGAAAUUGAAGGUACCUGGUGAAUAAGCCACGGCUAACUACGUGCCAGCAGCCGCGGUAAUACGUAGGUGGCAAGCGUUGUCCGGAUUUAUUGGGUUUAAAGGGUGCGUAGGCGGUUCUAUAAGUCAGUGGUGAAAUCCGGCAGCUCAACUGUCGAUGUGCCAUUGAUACUGCAGAACUUGAGUACUGAUGAGGUAGGCGGAAUUGACGGUGUAGCGGUGA
rnacentral:rRNA from 1 species